rnacentral:rRNA from 1 species
GCAAGUCGAACGCUAUUUAUAGAGUGGCGCACGGGUGAGUAACGCGUGGGAACCUGCCUUUUUCUGCGGGAUAACGGUUGGAAACGACCGCUAAUACCGCAUACGCCCUACGGGGGAAAGGUCCGCCGCUAAAAGAGGGGCCCGCGUCUGAUUAGCUUGUUGGUAAGGUAAUGGCUUACCAAGGCGACGAUCAGUAGCUGGUCUGAGAGGAUGGAC